rnacentral:lncRNA from 1 species
UGGUGCAAUUCCUAAUAGUAGUUUGCCACAAAGUAAAUAUUAUAAACAAAAAUUGAACGUGUAUUAUUUCCCAAUCCAGCUUUAGAUAUUGCUUGCCUAUUAUGUUUACAAUAGACAUUCAGGGGCAGUUAAUGAGCUGCAUAAUUUUUGCUUACUAUUUAUAAUUAGAGGAAUAUUCACAUAGUAAAAAUAAAGAUAUAAUGUUCUUUGUUCCUCAAGACAGAAAAUACAGUGGAAGGAUUUGGAAAGGACUGUCACCUCUGCCUAGUACUGCACUGUGUUCUCAAGAUCUGUGGGGACAUAAAAUUAUGAUGCUUGUCUGGAGGCAGAGAAGAUGAAGAGGGCACAGACCAAUCUUAUAUAAUGAAUACUGCCUGCUGAAGUUCUCCAUUUGCUCUCAGGCCACAGCUGGGCAUUUGGGAAGAUGCGGAAGCAAAAGUCAGAGGUGCACCACCACACACACCUACACCUAUUUCUCUCGCUCAGCGUAAGGACUCCAGUUUACUUGAUCUUAAACAAGAAACCUGGUUAGCAUGUUCACCUUGACACUGUCUUGGUAAACACUUAGUUCUAUUUCCAAAUUCGGUCAAGUCUUCCUUCAUGGACUUGGUUCAUUCCUUACCUAGACUGUUAUCUCAGGUCUUUGUGUCUUGUCAUUCUUCUUAACACAUCUGUCAAAGUUAUCUUCCCUGUUUUCUGCUUUGAACUAAUAAACUACAAGGAAAGUAUCCUUGUUCUUUAGCA